GUGCUCUCUUUGGCAGCAUAUAUACAAAAGCUGGAACUGUACCUGGAAGAUUAGCAUGACCCCUGCACAAGGGUGACCUGUAAAUUUAUGAGUCAUACUGUAUUUUU